rnacentral:rRNA from 1 species
UACGUAGGGACCGAGCGUUGUCCGGAUUCAUUGGGCGUAAAGAGCUCGUAGGCGGCUGUUCAAGUCGAACGUGAAAACUCGGAGCUCAACUCCGAGCCUGCGUUCGAGACUGGAUGGCUAGAGUCUGGUAGGGGGAUCUGGAAUUCCUGGUGUGAGCGGUGGAAUGCGCAGAUAUCAGGAGGAACACCGGUGGCGAAGGCGGGAUCCUGGGCCAGUACUGACGCAUGAGGAGCGAAAGCGUGGGGAGCAAACAGG